rnacentral:lncRNA from 10 species
UACCACCUGAUACCAUGCUGUGCUACAUAAACAGAAUGGGAGUGACGUGACCAGAUGUGUUUUGUCAAGAUGAGGACCAAUCAGCUUGAGAAACAGGAGAAGAGCUUCUGUCUAAACCCAGGCAUACAAGGUGUGUUUCAAAAUUGCCAACCUUGAUUCAAAUUACCCUCGUGGCAUUUAAAGAAAAAUGUGGUCAUGCAAAGAGGUAAAAUUAUGGCUACCAAGAUGAGACUCAGACAGCAAUUUAUCUUCAGCCAACAAAUGUUUUCUACACAGAAUAAUCUUCAAGUGCCAGUUCUUGAUCAUUUCAGUUACAUGCAAGUAUUUAGGAACUGCUGAGCCUAAGUGGGCAGCAGCCCUUUGGCAUGUCUAUGUGUGUAAUGCAUAACUGGGGUGUGGGAGACAUUGGAAUUUAUCUUUGGGUGAUAACAUUGGAAUCAGCUUCUCCAGCCAUGCAGCCACAAGUAUAGAAAUACAGGGAUAUGUAUUUGGUAUGGGAAGAUUUCAAAAGCCUCAGCUGUGUAUUACAUUCCCUUGGCAUCUGUCUCCCAUCACCUCUAUAAUUAACCAUAGGUUAUUAAUCCACUAGUGCCAUGGCUACAGACUUGAAGUUGAAUGGAAACAGCCUCUUUGCCAUAAGUAGAGGCUGUGAAAUUCAUAGUCGAGAGGUACAAGAUGGGCAAGUCUUCAUAUACUCCAGCUUCAGUGUUUCAUUGAAAAGUGAAACCUGUUCACACUAAAAUCAUUAAAUGUUUUCUCUCAGUCCUCAUACCUUCUCAAUUCACACUGGCUGUGUUGGUGGAUGCAAAAGUAUCUGAAUUUGGCAUUAAUAAUACUUCAAGAAACCAAACAGUUUCUGGAAGGCAUAUGAGAAUCUUCAAUUACUUGAGUUGUAAUUUGAACUUUGAAAGCUAGGAUAUAUUUGCCUACUUUGAAAAAAGAUAACCUAUCAGCUUAAAAGGCUGCUAAUCCAAAUCAAAUUGUGAGGGAAACAUUUAAUUUCCCUGGUCCCCUAACUGUCAUCGAGUUUGUUCAUUUCCCAUUAAGUCAGAGGAGGAAGGAACCAGUAUUUCCCCAUAUUCUUUUUUUUGUUAGUUUUUGUUUACAGUGGAAAAAUAUAUUCAGGAUGGAUUCCACAAAAUACUUUCUUAACCUGGUACUAUGCUGACUCACCACCCACCUCCAGAAGUGAAUUUCCUUAGGGUAUGAGGGCCUCCACCUAUCUUCAGUGAUGAUAGGAAAAAACUAUUUUAAUUGCUAUUGUAUCAUGAAAAGACUUAUGGACCAAAAUAAAUGCAAAAAUUCCUGCUUCUGAACGUUGGCAAAACACAAACUAGUCAAUGAAGGAAACUAACAUGUCCUUAGUGACGCACCAACAGCAUUUUCUAACAAACUCCACUGCAGAACUGAAAGCCAGAAAUCUUUUCCAACACACAGAAUAAUUUCAAUUGCCCUAGGGUUUUUGAAUGAACCAUAUAUUUGAUGUAAAACCAUAGUUCAGUGAUGUGUCCCAUUCUUUAAACUAUUUUUAAGUUAUCAUAGCCCUAUUAGACAAUGCUGAUGACCACUAUUAGCUGAAAAUUUAACCUUGACUUUCCCGCUACCUUGGCGUGGUGUAUGUCAUAAUCCAUUAUCAGUUGGUGACUCUCACCACACAAGCUUAUUUAGCCAAAUGCACAGCUUUUCAGCAAUUGCUCAGGAAAUAAUUAAUGCAAUAAAACGCUUUAUAUCUAUUUAAAGGCCAUCAACUCCUCUUCUUCCAUUUUAUCAUUGGGAAUGCAUUAUAAGACACAACAUAUUCUAGGGAGUCCAAGUGGAGAUUUAAAAAAUCUACAUGGCAUGACACGAUCCAUAAAUUGGUCGAACUACAGCAACUGCCUCUUAGCCUCUGAGUAUUUAAUCAAGCCUUCAAUUCAGAUAAGAAGGAAUAACCUAUUUCCUGCCAGAAGAUAUUAAGUGGUCUCAACACACAGUCCAGGUUUAGUAAACCUCUAGUGUAUACAAAUAAGAAUCAUGGUAGCUAAGAUUGCAAAUAUGGUAGGUUAAGUUUCUUGAUAGCCUUAAAGCUAAGGAGAACAUGGAAGGCAGUGAGAAGUUAUGAGACAAUCUGGUCACCAGCAUGGUUGUUGCUGGGUUUUAGAAACUAUAUGUUCUUGUGGCUGGGCGCGGUGGGAAUGUUUUGAGAAUGGCUGAGGCCAUGAGCAUUUUUCAGGGAUGGUUACAUUUUCGUAGCCAAAAUACCAUUUAAAGGAAUCAGAAAAAAAGCUUUGCCUUCACAUUUUUAAAAAUUUCUUUUCUUUUUCUUUUUCUUUUUUGAGACAGAGUCUUGCUCUGUCACCCAGGCUGGAGUGCAGUGGUGUAAUCUCAGCUCACUGUAGCCUCGACCUCCUGGGCUCAGGUGAUCCACCCACCUCAGCCUCGUGGGUAGCUGGGACUACUCAGCUAUAGGCGCACACCAUCACACUUGGCUAAUUUUUAUAUUUUUUAUAGAGACAAGGUCUCACCAUGUUGCCUAAGCUGUUCUUGAACUCCCGGGCUCAAGCCAUCCUCCCACCUUGGCCUCCCAAAGUGCUGGGAUUACAGGUAUGAGCAACUGCACCCAGCCUUAAAUUUCUUAAAUAACUCUCUUCAGUCUCCUGGAAAGCAUGGCCAAGGGUCAGAUGCUUAGUUCCAAGCUGCUCUCCACAGGCUCUCCUGUUAACGGACUCAUUUGGUCUACACGCUACCUAAAAUGCUUAAAAGGAAAAUUUAGAAAUGAACUUAAUAUUUGGUGACAUCCAUACAUGAGUUAUAAUGCUAAUUCUAAAAUAAGCUAUUUAUACUGAUUUACUUUUCACUGAUAUCCAUUUAAAUAUACAUAAUAUCCCUAAACAUACAGGAAAUUAAUAACUUUAAUUAGCAUGUAUUCUCUACUUGGAAAAAAUCUUCAUUCAUUUUGCCACUCUAUUGAGCUUGCUUGGAAUCAAAACAAACUUUCUCAUUUUCCUGAUUGCCUUUAAUUCUCAGGAAACUCAGACUUUCCCAGCUAAAAGAAAACCCUGGUAUUACAGGGUACCCCCCCACCACAUACCCACACACAGAGGUGUUAACUGGGCCAGGCAUAAAGAUCUUGAAAACUGAUACAAUUCCAGGCUCUCUGCUCCAUGUGGUUUGAAUGUCAGUUGAAAGAAAUCAAUUUUCUAAAAAUUACAAUAAAGCAUGCAUUGAGUUAUCAAUGUUCACUUUCUAUGGGGUCAUUUUCAAGUUAAUCACCUAAAAUUUUUAAAGUCCCCGCUUUAUGAUGCUCAGAAAGCUGCAAAGGCGGAAACAUAUCUCUCCUCUUAGUUUCACAUCCUCUUGUGUCCCCAUUUUUUUCCCACUGUCAUGCCAUGGAGUGUCGUGGGAUUGUGAGUGUGUUUGUGUGUUCUCUGCUUAUUCUUUGUACUUCGAUUGAACACCACCUUAGAUCAUCGUUGACAAGAGAGUAAAGGUUAUCAUUAGCAUGUUGAAUAAUGGAUGGGGUCCAUUGUAUUUUCUUGUUUAGGAAAAUAAAUCAUCCUGAAAACUUGUAUUAUGUUCUAUGUGAAAUGGAAGCACAUCAGCACUUGUUAUGUUUUCCUCUCCUGAGUCGGUUUGGCAGGGCGCCUGAGGCUGGAAAGAACAGCCAGGGGUUGCCAAGCAAGGGCUGGCUUGAUUCCGUGCCCGUUCCUCUAGGGGAUGUAAACAUCCUGCCCUGGAAUACUUCACCAACCUGCAGCUAGAAAACUACUGUGUACAACCGGGCAACUGGGAGAAUUGGAAACUGUGAGUCACAGCACCCACAAGGCCCUGCUGGGUAACGAGGAGGUCAGGUGUUGAAGCUUCCUCCGCCCCACCCCAGCCCCCAGAAUGAGGAUGGCACUCAAUUCAGCAGAGAGACAUACAGGAAUCAAGUGUAGGGGAAGGGCAAAGGAGUCUAGGAUUUCCUGAGGACCUACCAUCCACAUGCCAGAUACUGUUGGGCACCUUCAUGCACAUUCACUCGUGUCAAAUGGAGCAGGACUGCUCAGCGGUUAAGGCUACAGGUGUCUAGAGUGAGACACACCUGAGACCCACCACUCACUGAUUGGGCCGUCUUGGGCAAUUUGCUUAAUCUCUCUAAUUCUCAAUAUAUGAUCAGCCAAAUGGAGAUGGACCAGUUAAAAUACUGAAAUCCCUUCACAUCACAAGGGUAGGAGCAGUUGCCCUGAGUCCUGAGAGCACACACACUCCCACUGCACUGGUGGAACAAGCUCGUUCCUGGAAACCCCCCAGUGAUGCAGGAGAGUAAGGGAGACUCAAGCCCGAAAGAGCCUUGAAGGCCUGUCUAGAGGCAAGGGCUGGUUUGCUGUCAUUGACUGUUACCCACAUCACACCAGUCGCUAGCCAGCUUUACAGGGCUGUCAUAGCCACAGAGGUGGGGUCUACAAAGACUAUCAUGUGACAGGCCUGAAAUACAUGAUAAUAAUAGUUAUGCCCAUUAUAUAGACAGGGAAAGCUAGGCUAAACGAGGUUAAACAACAGGGCUAAAGCCAUGUAUGGAACCAAGAUAUGAAUCAAGGCGAGUUGGACUCGCAAGCUUGCGCCUCUCAACCCUGAUGUAUGAUUGGAGAAUCAUAAGUGCCCAUUUAAUGACAGCAUAAAGGAGCUUCCCUCCUAGAAAGAGCCAUGGCAUCAAGUGGAUUUCAGAUGUCCAUGCUCAUCUAAAUGUCGCUCUUGAGGAUUCGUGUAAAAGGCAGGCAUGGACCCAGUUGCUACAUGUUUUAAUUAUGGCAUCAGACUUAUUACAUGGAAACUGCUUUUCUCAAAUCUGAAUAGAACAUACUGGUCUCAGCCAUGGCAUCAACUGUGACAGGGGCACAGAUCGUCUUCUUGACAGGAUGUGAUUCUUAUGUUUGGGCACUCUGAAUGGGCCAUGAGUUGAGCCUCUGUUGUUCUGUGUGAACUCUGAGGAUAGGGGUGGAAGGAGAAAGCGUGUCAAGAUCUAAUUCCAUAUUGAGAAUAACAUUAUUACUUUAAAACUUUUAUCAGGGUAGAAUACUGCCAGGAUAUAUUAAAAACAAUAAAGGUUCACCAAUUAGAAAUGUAAUUCUCACACUGUGGUCACAACACAGUUCCUAUACCCACAGUCUUCUGAUUCCACAUCCUGCUUCUCCAUCAGGUAUUAAUAUUUGAGUACGAGAUAGUCACCUGGGGGCAGGAGGGUGCUUUCAUGAGAACAGAACAUAAGGCAGUUAAGUUUUGUUAAGAAAGCGGGGAAGAGGCAGGUACAUUACUGGGAGGAGGCCAAAGUGUAGAUUAUUCUAGAAGUAAUCUAGGACUUUGCUAUUCAGCCUGUGGUUCACAGACCAACAGCAUGGGUGUUGCCUGGGAGCCUGACAGAUGUCAGAAUCUGAGGCCCACUCCUGGCCUAAGGAUCAGAGUCUGUAUUUUAAUCAAAUGCCCAGGCAGUCAGUAUGUAUGCUCAUUGCUGCUGGAGAAGCUCUGCUCUAGGGGGCCCAGCCUCUGCUCACACUCAGUGGGUAGGACUUGGUGGGGGUGGUGUGAGCAGAAAAUGAAGCUGUAAGAGAUGGGAAGGUACCCAAGUGUUUGCCUAAGAGGUUAUCCUGUCUGAAUCGGCUGGAGGGAAAAAAAAUUCUGUUCUCCGAUGAUGAGCAGGCUGCGGCUGCAGUUGCACACAGCGUGAUGACCAUCUGUGUAUAAAAAGUGAAGCUGAAAAAAAAAAGAAAGAAAGAAAGCCAAGAAAAGAAACACUGUGCAGGAGUGCAGAAUUGCUACAGAGGCUAAGCAUGGCCAGGUGUUUAAGCAGGAAAGCCAGUCUUGAAGAUCAAAGGCAAGUCGAUUGUAAAAGAGAACAUCUUGCCCACCAAACCCGGGCCCUCUGAAUGGAGAGAGAGCGACAUCUGAAUAGACCAGAUGUUAGCAGCCGAGGGAUCCUUAGAGCCUAGAAUAAACUCACCUAAAUAGCUCUGUGGCAUCAAAACCUCAUUAUCUGCCAGGCCCACCGCUAAAUACAAACACAGGUUCUAUCAGCUGAUGUGAAAGAAGUCCUUCCAGGCACCCAGCUGAGGCAGUAGGAAUUUUCAGUCUCUGUUGUAAAUGGGCAGUAAUUAAUUAUAGGACAGACACCGAAGCCCAAAAAAAUAAGUUCUGUUUUGCGGAUGACAAGGAGAUGUCGUUUUUGGAAAGAGCUGUGUGAGCACUUCGUGGUAACCAGUCUGGGGCCAUCACAGGUGCUAUCUCCUGCAGGCCUGACACGGGGCAGGCUGGUUAUUUUUAUGAAGGAUGAGGGCCUGGGGCUCUGAAGCUUCCACCCCCUCAUGCUUGCACUUCAGUUCCAGUACCCCAACACCAUCCUUCCACCAGCAGCCCAGCAGAAUCGUGGGGCACUGGCAGGGAUGCGAGCGUUUCAUCAACUUGUGAAUUUUCCACAAGUACAAGCUGGUCUCCUCUUAAUUGCCCCCACAGAGAUUCUCAUAAAUACUUUUAAAUAUAAUAAUUGUUAUUGUUAUUUUACUUUGUUCUUCUAGAUGGCAUUUUUCCUUCAAGCAACUCAAAAGAAUGAUUCUGAAGUUAUCCAAUUAAUCUUUGCAACAUUCCUGUGAAGAAGAGGGUUGGGGGGCGGGGGCGGCAGUUUCUUUACGUUUCUGGAGGAGAGGGAAGGAACAGCAAGGUUAAAGGGACAGAGUGAAAUAAAGAUGACCCUGAAAUAGAAACUGGGAAGCCUCGUGCUCCCAAAGGGUCCUCAAUUUCCAAGUUUAUUAUCAUCCAAAGUGUGCAACUGCUUAGGCCAGUACCCUAUGUGAAAAGCACUAGUAUUCAGAUCUUGCUGUCACCUCUCAGGAAGUCAUGACUUUGUGCAAGUCAUUUAGCCUCCUUGGGCCUCCAUUUCCCAUGCGUCAAAUAAAGAGGAUAUCUUAAUGGAAUGUGGCAUAGAAAAGAUCCAAGGCCUCUCCUUCAGGGUAGCAAACCCUCUGGAAUCCAACCGCAAUGGGCUCCUUGCAGUUUUAUGCAUGAGGCUGUUUUAGGCUUUGCAGUGGAAAUGGCACACUUUGGCAUGACAUGGAGCAAGAGAGUCCAAGGACAGGCAUGAUAGACAUCCUGAUUCAGAUCUUAGUUCCAGCACUUUUUAAGUCCUAUCACUUUCAACAGGUCACUUAACCACUCUGAGCCUCUGUUUCCUCAUUUGUCAAAUGGUGGAUGGUGAGAUAAUGCUUAACACGAGUCUGGCAUUGAGUAGGUGCUCAAUAAGUAUACAGAAAGUGGUUAAGAGGAGGAGCCUGGGGUCAAAGUGUCCGUAUUUGAAUCCUGGCUCACCACUUUCCAGCUAAGUCACCUUGGACAAGUCACUUUGCCUCGCUAGAUAAGAAAAGUUCCUAGAGGAUUAAGCAAGCGAAUACAUGUAAUUUGUAAAAGAGUCUGGCACAGGGUCCAUGCUUGAUAAAUGUUAUCAUUAAUCAUAUUAUAAUUAUUGCUUAAUUUCUUGUUUCCAUUUUGUCUUAAGAAACCACAAACACUGGCCUCCACCUCCAAGGAAGGAGAUUACUUCAUACUGUAAGGGCAAGGUGGAGGGGAGAGUGUCUCAGUAUAGAACCACUUUCCACCAAUAAAUUGAAAGAAGCGUCUCUUAGCUGGAAGUAUUCCCUCUGGAAUCACACAGGGCUGUGGUCUGCCACUCACCGACCAGCUAAGUGAUGCUGGGCAAGUCUCUGCACCUUUCUCUCGGCCAACUCAUCUGCAAACCAGAGGUAACCAGCUCACUGCCUUGAUUUGUUAGAAAGAUUACAUGAGCUAAUGCACACAAACACAUUUUGUAAACUCUUAAAUGCCUCAUAUAUUGAAAGUGCUAUAAAUUCAGAAAGAUACACUUAUAUGCGAAAAGCAUGCAAAGCUCUGAAUUUUCAUUAGAACAUGGGGAAAACUCAACAUGUGUGCUUCUAUGUUUCGUUCCCUUGAAUUACAAAAUGCAAUGUUAAAAAUCUCUUGUCUCAGGUAGAAGAAGAAAGAAGGCAUUUUAAUUUCCGGUGGUGCCAGCACAUGGGGCUUGGGCUUCACCACCAGCUGCUGUAAAACCAAACCAAACAAACAAUAUAUCCACCGACCCAAAGUAACUCAAAGUAACUGGAUUUCUCUUUGCUGAGUUUCCUGUGAAUACUUCAAAGCCUGGAGACUUUGCAGAUGUCUUGGUGGUGAUUUCCCUUUAGCAAACACAUGGGAAAUACUCCAAUAAGAGAGAAGCCAGCUCCAUGAAAGAAGACUUGGGGGCAGAAACCGAGGGAAGAUGGUUUGCAAGCUGAGCAUGAUGAGUGCAGUAGCCUGAUCUUCAUUUCUCACAUGCUUAGCACACAUUUGCAUCUGGGGCUAAUUCUUCAGCUUACCUCCAGUGUUUACAGCAAGGAAGCGUUUCUUGGGUUCUAGCCCAUGAAUACUCAAAACUGAACUUGAAUAGAAAGCAUUAUAUUAAAUACUUCACUAUUGCCAAGCCCCUUGCAAGCCGCCAUCCCCAUCAGAAGAGAAGAACAGGUGGCCUCCUGCUCCUGCUUGGAGGUGCGGGAGGGGAUUGGGACACUGGGCGAAGGAUGGGUCUCCUCGCCUGUUGUGUUAUUUUCAAAUUUGUAUUUCUUUUACAUUUUUGAUUCUCCUUCCAAAGCAAAUUUCCCUAAACAUGUAAUCGGGGAAAUUUUUUACCUUGAGCAUCUCUAAAGCUGUAACACAGAAAGUAAAUAUUUGCUUUCAGGAAAGUUUGUUUGUGGAUUAAAAUCUGCUUCUUUGAAUCAAGAAUCAGCUUAUCCUUUCAAAAUAAGAAUUUAUUACAAAACUACAACACUGUCUACAAACCUACAGACAAAGAUUGGUAACAGUCCAUGCAGUCGGCAAAAUGAUUGCUCCCAGGCUCUAAGGCAGGGCCCUUGGGUUUUUUCCAGGGGUGAAGAUGGUGCCCAGCAUGCUCUCCCCAGGCAUCAGCAGGAUGCUUUACAAGGCAGUGGCCUAGAUAUUGGGGUGAGGACCCCCAUCUGCAGGACAGAGUGAAGCUUCUUCAUCCACUGGAUCACCAAACUCUCAGGCCCAACCAGGCCUUUACCGGGAGACGUCCCGCCUGCCUGACUGUGGUUCGCCGCUCAUGCCUGUUUUAUGCAACAAAAGUCCUUUGAACACUUACUAUGACCCAGCCAUGGAGGCCACCUGAGUGAAUAUCAUGGUGUCCGCCAUCACCUAGUCUAGUGUGAGGGACAGGCAAACAGCGUGCCACCUGCUAUACUUGAAGGGGUGCAGGGCUGCAAGCGACAAAGGAGGGGUAUCCCCUGAGGUAGGGAGGGGCUUUCCUGAGGCAGAUCAGGCAGGUAAGUGGGCAGGGAGAGGGAGGGAGAAGGAGAGUGCUACAGCAGACAGGGCAGCCUGGGAAGGUCCCUCCCCUGCAGGGAGGAGCGGCAGGAGGGGUAAUGGGAGUGGAUCCAGAAAAGGCUGCAGACUCAGCUCCUUGUGGGCUAAUGGAGGAUCAGGACUUUAUCUACAGGGCAAUGGGGAGCCACUGCAUCACCAAGUCCCAGUCCACUGGCUUCUUGUUUUAUGUUAAUUACUCAACUUGAUAGAGCCUGACUACAUACAAAACUUAGGAUACCACACAAAACCAGGGCAGAAUCAUCAUCUUCAUACUCCAUUUAAAAAAAUGGAGGCUUUGGAUUUAGGCAGCAUGCCUAAGGUCACCCAGCUAUUGGAACUUGAUGCUAUAGUGGAUUUUUUUGGGUUUUGUCACCCAGAAUCAAUGCCUCCAUUUUUUUUUGGUGGGGGGUGGGGGGAGAAUCAUCUUCAUGAUUUCACCCCAGCUGUAGGAAUGGGUCACUUAAGCCUGGCCUGGCACAGCACUUCCAUCCUUUGGCCACAGUGAUUGGCUCAGGAAAAGAGUCAGGUAGAACCAAUGGUACACAACCUUGGGGCUUACUGGGACUGUUGAGAGAGAGAGAGAGGCCCAUUCUGUCUCUUUUGGACUUAAAAACUCAUGCCUGUAAUCCCAGCACUUUGGGAGGCCAAGGCAGAUCACUUGAGGUCAGGAGUCCGAGACCAGUCUGGCCAACAUGAUGAAAUCCCAUCUCUAUUAAAAAUACAAAAAAGUAGCUGGGUGUGGUGGUGUGUGCCUAUAAUCCCAGCUACUCGGGAGGCUGAGGCAUGAGAACUGCUUGAGCCUGGGAGGCAGAGGUUGCAGUGAGCUGAGAUCACACCACUGCACUCCAGCCUAGGCGACAGAGCAAGACUCCAUUUCAAAACAAAACAAAACAAAACAAAAAAACUCGAAGACGUAUGUCUACAGCUGGAGCAUGAAGAUGACACAAAAAAGAACUAAGAGGUUGUCUCCUGGAUCAAGCUGUGCCUGAAGCCACUACUCCACAACUUUUAAAUUACAUCAGACAUAAUUUUAUUUUUUCUUAUAAGAAUCUUAGCUGGUUUCUCUCACCUGCAAUGAGGCAGCCCUGAUGCAUGGUGGCCCUGAUGCAAUGGUGCUCAUGGUGACCCUCUUCUACUUUACCUAUCAUGUUAUAGGCUACUGAAAUUGAUUUGGUAUUUUGCUAUAUUCUUAUUUAAAAAACUUAUCCCAGUGAAAAUUCAAAUAUGGAAUAAAUUGGGCUCUGAAAAUACUUUAGUACGAGUUUCCAAGGAUCAGCUGGUCUUGGUUUUCUCUUGAUGACUCCAGCCAGUGAGCCAGAUGGCAGCCCACAGUGAUCCCAUGAAAGCCACGCUGGUUAGUUUAUAAAUGUUAACACUGACAGGUUGCACAUGGGUAGUGGCUUUAAAAGAAUCUAAUGGGCUGAGUGCUUUAUUUAACUAUUCUGCUAAAAAUUAGCCAGAGAAUUUCUACAACCAACUAUUAAAGAGAGAUACUUUUCCCCUAUUUUGAAUGUCUUGCAAUGAAAACACCUUAAGAAUCAGAGACAUGAAAGUCUGUCACUGUAACAUACUUUUAACUGGAGCUGCCUUCUGGACCAAGUGGUCCUAGUAGACAUCUACAGAACUCUCCACCCCAAAUCAAUAGAAUAUACAUUCUUCUCAGCACCACACAGCACUUAUUCUAAAAUUGACCACAUAAUUGGAAGUAAAACACCCCUCAGCAAAUGUAAAGGAAUGGAAAUCAUAACAGUCUCUCCGACCACAGUGCAAUCAAAUUAGAUCUCAGGAUUAAGAAACUCACUGAAAACCACACAACUACAUGGAAACGGAACAACCUGCUCCUGAAUGACUACUGGGUAAAUAACAAAAUGAAGGCAGAAAUAAGUAAGUUCUUUGAAACCAAUGAGAACAAAGACACAAUGUACCAGAAUCUCUGGGACUCAGCUAAAGCAGUUUUUAGAGGGAAAUUUAUAGCACUAAAUGCCCACAGGAGAAAGUGGGAAAGACCUAAAAUCGACACCCUAACAUCACAAAAGAACUAGAGAAGCAAGAGCAAACAAAUUCAGAAGCUAGCAGAAGACAAGAAAUAACUAAUAUCAGACCUGAACUGAAGGAGACAGAGACAUGAAAAACUCUUCAAAAAAUCAAUGAAUCCAGGAGCUGGUUUUUUGAAAAGAUUAACAAAACAGAUAGACCACUAGCCAGACUAAUAAAGAAGAAAAGAGAGAAGAAUCAAAUAGACAUAAAAAAAAUGGUAAAGGGUAUAUCACCACUGAUCCCACAGAAAUACAAACUACCGUCAGAGAAUACUAUAAACACCUCUAUGCAAAUAAACUAGAAAGUCUAGAAGAAAUGGAUAAACUCCUGGAUACAUACCCCUCCCAAGACUAAAUCAGGAAGAAGUCGAAUACCUGAACAGGCCAAUAACAAGUUCUGAUAUUGAGGCAGUAAUUAAUAGCCUACCUCCCAAAAAAAGCCCAGGACCAGAUGGAUUCACAGCUGAAUUCUACCAGAGUUACAAAGAGGAGCUGGUACCAUUCCUUCUGAAUCUAUUCCAAACAAUAGAAAAAAAGGGACUCCUCCCUAACUCAUUUUAUGAGGCCAGCAUCAUCCUGAUACCAAAACUUGGCAGAGACACAACAAAAAAAGAGAAUUUCAGCCCAGCACGGUGGCUCCUGCCUGUAAUCCCAGCACUUUGGGAGGCUGAGGUGGGCGGAUUGCCUGAGGUCAGGAGUUCAACACCAGCCUGGCUAACAUGGUGAAACCCCGUCUCUACUAAAAAUACAAAAAAAUUAGCUGGGCAUGGUGGCGCACACCUGUAGUCCAGGCUACCCAGAAGGCUGAGGCAGGAGAACAGCUUCAACUCGGGAGGUGGAGGUUGCAGUGAGCCGAGGUCACGCCACUGCACUCCAGCCUGCACAACAGAGCGAGACUUGGUCUCAAAAAAAAAGAAAAAAGAAAAUUUCAGGCCAAUAUCCCUGACGAACAUCAAUGCGAAAAUCCUCAAUAAAAUACUAGCAAACCGAAUGCAGCAGCACAUUAAAAAGCUUAUCCACCACAAU